CCUACGGGAGGCAGCAGUAAGGAAUAUUGGUCAAUGGACGAAAGUCUGAACCAGCCAUGCCGCGUGAAGGAUGAAGGCCCUCUGGGUUGUAAACUUCUUUUAUCUGGGACGAAAAAAGGGAAUUCUUUCCCACUUGACGGUACCAGAGGAAUAAGCACCGGCUAACUCCGUGCCAGCAGCCGCGGUAAUACGGAGGGUGCAAGCGUUAUCCGGAUUUACUGGGUUUAAAGGGUGCGUAGGUGGGUAGGUAAGUCAGUGGUGAAAUCUCCGAGCUUAACUCGGAAACUGCCAUUGAUACUAUCUAUCUUGAAUAUCCUGGAGGUGAGCGGAAUAUGUCAUGUAGCGGUGAAAUGCUUAGAUAUGACAUAGAACACCAAUUGCGAAGGCAGCUCACUACGGGAUUAUUGACACUGAGGCACGAAAGCGUGGGGAUCAAACAGGAUUAGAUACCCUGGUAGUCCACGCCCUAAACGAUGGAUACUCGACAUACGCGAUACACUGUGUGUGUCUGAGCGAAAGCAUUAAGUAUCCCACCUGGGAAGUACGAUCGCAAGAUUGAAACUCAAAGGAAAUUGACGG
rnacentral:rRNA from 1 species